GGACAGUAUAUACAGAUUCUCAAAAUAAUUUAAAGAAAACCAAUGCAGUCAUAACUCAUCAAAAUAUUAAAAAAUCAAUCCCCCAUUAAAAAGCAUCAUUGUUUAGAACACAUAAGCUAAUUUUGAUUCACAUUUGUUCUCCAAAACCUCUCUGAUAUGGGCUAGAAACUCUCUACAUCCUUUUUGGAGCAUUUUGCUAGCUUACAUUGUGGAGAUCAUCCCCUUAACUGCUAAUGUCUGAUCUCCCUAAAAAACUACCUCCGACCUAUUUGGUCCUUUGAACUUUAUUGCCUUGUUUCCGCAGUCUAAGGCGGUAUAAUUGACUAAGAGCCAAUCCACUUUCAAAAUGACACCAAAAAAUAUCAAUUUUAGGACCAACAGCUGAAAAAUAUUUAUCCUCCACUAUCACUGGACAGGCAUAACAGAUCAUCUCUAUCAUUGAAGGUUCACACUUAGGCUCACUGACAAGCAACGAACAUUGCAAACUUGAAACUACUAAACCCAAUCUUAGAACUAUUUCAAGGUUUGAGAUGCACCAAGAUCAAUCAAAACAUGCAUAUCGAAACUUUCAAUGCACAGGUUACCUAUUGGCUUUCUGUAGUGUCAUGGUAAAAAUCUGUACUGGUGUUGUUGAACACUUU
rnacentral:misc_RNA from 1 species